rnacentral:rRNA from 1 species
UACGGGGGGGGCAAGCGUUGUUCGGAAUUACUGGGCGUAAAGGGCUCGUAGGCGGCUAACUAAGUCGGAUGUGAAAUCCCCAGGCUUAACCUGGGAACUGCAUCCGAUACUGGAUGGCUUGAAUUCGGGAGAGGGAUGCAGAAUUCCUGGUGUAGCGGUGAAAUGCGCAGAUAUCAGGAGGAACACCGGUGGCGAAGGCGGGUCUCUGGGCCGAUAUUGACGCUGAGGAGCGAAAGCGUGGGGAGCAAACAGG